rnacentral:lncRNA from 1 species
CAGAACAGUUCACAAUAUGACAACAUUGUAGUGGCGACAUCACAGAGACAGAAGGAGGAAGAAUGGCAACCCUUGGACUCCUGGGGAUGUGGGAGCUCCUUGACCACAUGUGGUACCUCUCUUUCCUGAUCCCAGAUUGAGAGCUGUACUAGCCUGGCAUGCAGACAGCAGCUUUAGAAUCAGAUCUGCCUUCUGGCGGCUUCCCACCUAGGAGCCAUGGGACCUUUGUGAAGUCACCAAUUGUGCUGUGGAUGCUUCAUUUGUGAAGGAGAACAGGACUGCCUUAUGAGGAAACUGAGGUACAGAUGGGAAACUUGCUCAAGUUCACACAGCAAUUAAGUGAUCAAGUCCAAGAGCAAAACCAGGCAGGCUGGCUCCAGAGCUCACGAUAGCCCACCACUGCUUUCCACCAUCACUACGGAAUCAAGUCCAUGAGGAUACUUACCUUAUGUCAGUUGCCUAAGUUGGAAAUUAUAGAAUCUUCAAAUUGGAAGGGACGUUAUCAUGCAAGAUUUCAACUUUCUACUCACUGCAAAAUCCCUUCUGG